AUACCCAGGCCUGAGCACAUAUACUAAAAUUGGAACGAUACAGAGAAGAUUAGCAUGGCCCCUCUGCAAGGAUGACACGCAAAUUCGUUAAGCAUUCCCAAGCCUG
rnacentral:snRNA from 1 species